rnacentral:rRNA from 1 species
CACGUAGGGCGCAAGCGUUGUCCGGAUUUAUUGGGCGUAAAGAGCUCGUAGGCGGCUUGUCGCGUCGACUGUGAAAUCCCGCGGCUCAACUGCGGGUCUGCAGUCGAUACGGGCAGGCUAGAGUUCGGUAGGGGAGACUGGAAUUCCUGGUGUAGCGGUGAAAUGCGCAGAUAUCAGGAGGAACACCGGAUGGCGAAGGCAGGUCUCUGGGCCGAUACUGACGCUGAGGAGCGAAAGCGUGGGGAGCGAACAGG